rnacentral:rRNA from 1 species
UACAGAGGAGCCAAGCGUUGUCCGGAUUGACUGGGCGUAAAGCGCACGCAGGCGGACGCGCGCGUGGGGUGUGAAAUCUGGCCGCUUAACGGCCAGGCGCCAUCCCAUACGGCGCGUCUGGAGUGAUGCAGAGGUCGAUGGAAUUGCCGGUGUAGUGGUGAAAUGCGUAGAGAUCGGCAGGAACACCCAGGGGGAAACCAGUCGACUGGGCAUCUACUGACGCUGAGGUGCGAGAGCGUGGGGGAGCAAACAGGG